AUGUACCCACGUACACUCCCGGUUCUCCGCGCCGUCCGCACCCACCUGACGACUGCUCGCUACGUUUUGUUAGCC
rnacentral:sRNA from 1 species